ACUAGUGGGAUUGAUUGCUCUGUUGCAAUUGCAGGUCUAGCAUCUUUGAUGCCAAGGCAGGAAUUGCUUUGAGUAAGAACUUUGUCAAACUAGUUUCGUGGUAUGACAAUGAAUGGGGUUACAGCUCACGUGUCGUCGACUUGAUCAAGCACAUGGCUUCCACUCAGUAAUAUAUAUGAGAUGCUGCACAAUGGUUUUGCAUGACUCUUCAUGGUCACUUAUUCUAAAGAAGUAAGUUUAAAACUAGUCACAAUGAAGAGAGCAGGAGAGCGUGCAGUUUGUUGCUGCGUUUUGCAUGUUUUGGUUUUAAUGGGAUGUCUAAAGGAUUCUUGUGGCUUGCAAUUUUUCAAGCAUCUCUUAUAUGCAGUUUUGUAUUGAAAAUAACGUUGAACUAUUUUCUAUUUUGUGGAAUGUCCAAUGCUUUAAUAAUGUUAUACUUUUCUCUGUA